GACGAACGCUGGCGGCGUGCUUAACACAUGCAAGUCGAACGGAGAGGCCCUGCUUUUGUGGGGUGCUCGAGUGGCGAACGGGUGAGUAACACGUGAGUAACCUGCCCUUGACUUUGUGAUAACUUCAGGAAACUGGGGCUAAUACCGGAUAGGAGCUCCUGCUGCAUGGUGGGGGUUGGAAAGUUUCGGCGGUUGGGGAUGGACUCGCGGCUUAUCAGCUUGUUGGUGGGGUAGUGGCUUACCAAGGCUUUGACGGGUAGCCGGCCUGAGAGGGUGACCGGCCACAUUGGGACUGAGAUACGGCCCAGACUACUACGGGAGGCAGCAGUGGGGAAUAGUGCACAAUGGGCGGAAGCCUGAUGCAGCAACGCCGCGUGCGGGAUGACGGCCUUCGGGUUGUAAACCGCUUUCGCCUGUGACGAAGCGUGAGUGAAGGUAAUGGGUAAAGAAGCACCGGCUAACUACGUG
rnacentral:rRNA from 1 species